rnacentral:rRNA from 1 species
CCUACGGGAGGCAGCAGUGAGGAAUAUUGGUCAAUGGACGAGAGUCUGAACCAGCCAAGUAGCGUGAAGGAUGACUGCCCUAUGGGUUGUAAACUUCUUUUAUAUGGGAAUAAAACGUUCCACGUGUGGGAUUUUGUAUGUACCAUAUGAAUAAGGAUCGGCUAACUCCGUGCCAGCAGCCGCGGUAAUACGGAGGAUCCGAGCGUUAUCCGGAUUUAUUGGGUUUAAAGGGAGCGUAGGUGGAUUGUUAAGUCAGUUGUGAAAGUUUGCGGCUCAACCGUAAAAUUGCAGUUGAAACUGGCAGUCUUGAGUACAGUAGAGGUGGGCGGAAUUCGUGGUGUAGCGGUGAAAUGCUUAGAGAUCACGAAGAACUCCGAUUGCGAAGGCAGUUCACUGGACUGCAACUGACACUGAGGCUCGAAAGUGUGGGUAUCAAACAGGAUUAGAUACCCGUGUAGUC